rnacentral:sRNA from 1 species
CUUCCAAGGACAUAGAACAGAACAGAAUGUGUAGUCCACCGUGGCAUUAGAAAGCUUCCUAAUAACAGCAGAAACAGGAACUUUCUACCACUGAAGAUAAAAACGGCCACUCGGAGAUCUCUACUAAACAGCACUGACUGAGCACUUCUACUCGACUUUUGUGAAACAUAGGGCCUUGCUAUGCUGUUCAGACUUCUGGGUUUACACAAUCCUUCUGAUUCAGCCUCCUGUAGCUGCCACUCCUGGUUUGACCACCAGGCUCACAGCCAGAGGAAGUUACUGUAUAGAAACACUCACAAAAGGAUAAGUACGCCAAAGUUCCGGCAGCAUUCUUCCAUAAUAAAACAUGAGAGACGUAA